AUUGAACGCUGGCGGCAGGCUUAACACAUGCAAGUCGAGCGGAGAUGAGGUGCUUGCACCUUAUCUUAGCGGCGGACGGGUGAGUAAUGCUUAGGAAUCUGCCUAUUAGUGGGGGACAACAUUCCGAAAGGAAUGCUAAUACCGCAUACGCCCUACGGGGGAAAGCAGGGGAUCUUCGGACCUUGCGCUAAUAGAUGAGCCUAAGUCGGAUUAGCUAGUUGGUAGGGUAAAGGCCUACCAAGGCGACGAUCUGUAGCGGGUCUGAGAGGAUGAUCCGCCACACUGGGACUGAGACACGGCCCAGACUCCUACGGGAGGCAGCAGUGGGGAAUAUUGGACAAUGGGCGGAAGCCUGAUCCAGCCAUGCCGCGUGUGUGAAGAAGGCCUUUUGGUUGUAAAGCACUUUAAGCGAGGAGGAGGCUACCUGGAUUAAUACUCUAGGAUAGUGGACGUUACUCGCAGAAUAAGCACCGGCUAACUCUGUGCCAGCCGCCGCAGUAUAC
rnacentral:rRNA from 1 species